rnacentral:rRNA from 1 species
AGAGUUUGAUCCUGGCUCAGAUUGAACGCUGGCGGCAUGCCUUACACAUGCAAGUCGAACGACAGCACGGGGGGUAACUCCUGGUGGCGAGUGGCGAACGGGUGAGUAAUAUAUCGGAACGUGUCCUGUAGCGGGGGAUAACCUAUCGAAAGAUGGACUAAUACCGCAUACGCUCUACGGAGGAAAGCGGGGGUCGCAAGACCUCGCACUAUAGGAGCGGCCGAUAUCGGAUUAGCUAGUUGGCGGGGUAAAAGCCCACCAAGGCGACGAUCCGUAGCUGGUCUGAGAGGAUGAUCAGCCACACUGGAACUGAGACACGGUCCAGACUCCUACGGGAGGCAGCAGUGGGGAAUUUUGGACAAUGGGCGCAAGCCUGAUCCAGCCAUGCCGCGUGAGUGAAGAAGGCCUUCGGGUUGUAAAGCUCUUUCGGCAGGAACGAAAUGGUUCGUGCUAAUACCACGGACUGAUGACGGUACCUGAAGAAGAAGCACCGGCUAACUACGUGCCAGCAGCCGCGGUAAUAC